rnacentral:rRNA from 1 species
AGCAGCCGCGGUAAUUCCAGCUCCAAUAGCGUAUAUUAAAGUUGCUGCAGUUAAAAAGCUCGUAGUUGAAUUUCGGGAUCAAUAUGUUGGUCGUGCCUCGGUACGUACUAGCUUAUUGGUUUCUCCCUUCUGACGAACCAUGAUGUCAUUUAUUUGGUGUUAUGGGAAAUCAGGACUGUUACUUUGAAAAAAUUAGAGUGUUUAAAGCAGGCUCACGCUUGAAUACAUUAGCAUGGAAUAAUGAAAUAGGACGUUUUGAUUCUAUUUUGUUGGUUUCUAGGAUCGACGUAAUGAUUAAUAGGGAUAGUUGGGGGCAUUAGUAUUCAAUUGUCAGAGGUGAAAUUCUUGGAUUUAUUGAAGACUAACUACUGCGAAAGCAUUUGCCAAGGAUGUUUUCAUUAAUCAAGAACGAAAGUUAGGGGAUCGAAGACGAUCAGAUACCGUCGUAGUCUUAACCAUAAACUAUGCCGACUAGGGAUCGGAUGAUGUAAUUUUUUUAAUGUACUCA